CUGUGAGUAUUCUCGCUGUUCUGAUUUUGUAAUAAUCAGAGUAGAUUUGUUAUAAUAAGACCAUGAUUGUGUCCCCAGGCCUAAUUCUUUACUACCUAGGUCUGACUUUAGAAAUGUUGGUGAUAAAU
rnacentral:snoRNA from 1 species